rnacentral:rRNA from 1 species
UACGUAGGGUGCGAGCGUUAAUCGGAAUUACUGGGCGUAAAGCGUGCGCAGGCGGUUUUGUAAGCCAGAUGUGAAAUCCCCGGGCUUAACCUGGGAAUGGCAUUUGGGACUGCAUGGCUGGAGUGCGGCAGAGGGGGAUGGAAUUCCGCGUGUAGCAGUGAAAUGCGUAGAUAUGCGGAGGAACACCGAUGGCGAAGGCAAUCCCCUGGGCCUGCACUGACGUCAUGCACGAAAGCGUGGGGAGCAAACAGG